rnacentral:rRNA from 1 species
UACGUAGGGACCAAGCGUUGUUCGGAUUUACUGGGCGUAAAGGGUGCGUAGGCGGCAAUUCAAGUCAGUUGUGAAAUCUCCGAGCUUAACUCGGAACGGUCAACUGAUACUGUUUUGCUAGAGUACAGAAGGGGCAAUCGGAAUUCUUGGUGUAGCGGUGAAAUGCGUAGAUAUCAAGAGGAACACCUGAGGUGAAGACGGGGUUGCUGGGCUGAUACUGACGCUGAGGCGCGAAAGCUAGGGUAGCAAACGGG